rnacentral:rRNA from 1 species
UGGCGGACGGGUGAGUAAUGUCUGGGAAACUGCCUGAUGGAGGGGGAUAACUACUGGAAACGGUAGCUAAUACCGCAUAACGUCGCAAGACCAAAGAGGGGGACCUUCGGGCCUCUUGCCAUCGGAUGUGCCCAAAUGGGAUUAGCUAGUAGGUGGGGUAACGGCUCACCUAGGCGACGAUCCCUAGCUGGUCUGAGAGGAUGACCAGCCACACUGGAACUGAGACACGGUCCAGACUCCUACGGGAGGCAGCAUG